rnacentral:rRNA from 4 species
AGACCCGAAACCCGGUGAUCUAGCCAUGGGCAGGUUGAAGGUUGGGUAACACUAACUGGAGGACCGAACCGACUAAUGUUGAAAAAUUAGCGGAUGACCUGUGGCUGGGGGUGAAAGGCCAAUCAAACCGGGAGAUAGCUGGUUCUCCCCGAAAGCUAUUUAGGUAGCGCCUCGUGAAUUCAUCUCCGGGGGUAGAGCACUGUUUCGGCUAGGGGGCCAUCCCGGCUUACCAACCCGAUGCAAACUGCGAAUACCGGAGAAUGUUAUCACGGGAGACACACGGCGGGUGCUAACGUCCGUCGUGAAGAGGGAAACAACCCAGACCGCCAGCUAAGGUCCCAAAGUCAUGGUUAAGUGGGAAACGAUGUGGGAAGGCCCAGACAGCCAGGAUGUUGGCUUAGAAGCAGCCAUCAUUUAAAGAAAGCGUAAUAGCUCACUGGUCGAGUCGGCCUGCGCGGAAGAUGUAACGGGGCUAAACCAUGCACCGAAGCUGCGGCAGCGAACGUAUCACCCAAGACAACUUUACGGAGUUGACGAUUGACGGAGCGAAGCGACGUCAAAGCGUUCAUUAAAGUCGAGUUGGCUUAGGGAUACGUUCGUUGGGUAGGGGAGCGUUCUGUAAGCCUGUGAAGGUGUGUCGUGAGGCAUGCUGGAGGUAUCAGAAGUGCGAAUGCUGACAUAAGUAACGAUAAAGCGGGUGAAAAGCCCGCUCGCCGGAAGACCAAGGGUUCCUGUCCAACGUUAAUCGGGGCAGGGUGAGUCGACCCCUAAGGCGAGGCCGAAAGGCGUAGUCGAUGGGAAACGGGUUAAUAUUCCCGUACUUGGUGUUACUGCGAAGGGGGGACGGAGAAGGCUAUGUUGGCCGGGCGACGGUUGUCCCGGUUUAAGCGUGUAGGUGUGUGUUCCAGGUAAAUCCGGUUCACUUUAACACUGAGGCGUGACGACGAGGCACUACGGUGCUGAAGCAACAAAUGCCCUGCUUCCAGGAA